AUUGAACGCUGGCGGCAUGCCUUACACAUGCAAGUCGAACGGUAACGGGCCUUCGGGUGCCGACGAGUGGCGAACGGGUGAGUAAUGUAUCGGAACGUACCUUUCAGUGGGAGAUGACGCAGCGAAAGUUGCGCUAAUACCGCAUAUUCUGUGCGCAGGAAAGCAGGGGAUCGCAAGACCUUGCGCUGAUUGAGCGGCCGAUAUCAGAUUAGCUAGUUGGUGAGGUAAAGGCUCACCAAGGCGACAAUCUGUAGCGGGUCUGAGAGGAUGAUCCGCCAAACUGGAACUGAGACACGGUCCAGACUCCUACGGGAGGCAGCAGUGGGGAAUUUUGGACAAUGGGCGCAAGCCUGAUCCAGCCAUGCCGCGUGCAGGAUGAAGGCCUUCGGGUUGUAAACUGCUUUUGUACGGAACGAAACGGUUCUCUCUAAUACAGGGGGCUAAUGACGGUACCGUAAGAAUAAGCACCGGCUAACUACGUGCCAGCAGCCGCCGUAAAAC
rnacentral:rRNA from 1 species